rnacentral:rRNA from 1 species
CCUACGGGAGGCAGCAGUGGGGAAUAUUGCGCAAUGGGCGAAAGCCUGACGCAGCGACGCCGCGUGAGGGAUGACGGUCUUCGGAUCGUAAACCUCUGUUAGCAGGGAAGAAAGGUCACUGUGCUAAUCAGCAGUGAAUUGACGGUACCUGCAAAGGAAGCAUCGGCUAACUCCGUGCCAGCAGCCGCGGUAAUACGGAGGGUGCGAGCGUUAAUCGGAAUUACUGGGCGUAAAGCGCUCGUAGGCGGUAUGUCAAGUGAAGGGUGAAAUCCCCGGGCUCAACGUGGGAACUGCCUUUGAGACUGGCAGACUAGAGUGUAGGAGAGGAUGGUGGAAUUCCAGGUGUAGGAGUGAAAUGCGUAGAUAUC